CCUACGGGUGGCAGCAGUGAGGAAUAUUGGUCAAUGGUCGGAAGGCUGAACCAGCCAAGCCGCGUGAGGGAUGAAGGUACAGAGUAUCGUAAACUUCUUUUGUCAGGGGACAAAGUCAGGGUCGCGUGCCUGGCUGAGUGUACCUGAAGAAAAAGCAUCGGCUAACUCCGUGCCAGCAGCCGCGGUAAUACGGAGGAUGCGAGCGUUAUCCGGAUUUAUUGGGUUUAAAGGGUGCGCAGGCGGUCUGUUAAGUCAGCGGUAAAAGCCCGGGGCUCAACCCCGGCCAGCCGUUGAACCUGGCAGUCUUGAGUUGUAGAGAGGUAUGCGGAAUGCGCGGUGUAGCGGUGAAAUGCAUAGAUAUCGCGCAGAACUCCGAUUGCGAAGGCAGCAUGCCGGCUCCAAUCUGACGCUGAGGCACGAAAGCGUGGGUAUCGAACAGGAUUAGAUACCCUAGUAGUC
rnacentral:rRNA from 1 species